UUGUUUUUGACAUUCCUUAGUUUACAAGCCAAGGUCAGACAUUGAUAAUUAGCAUGAAAUGUGAAAAAACAGUACCUUGACUAUACUUCUGCUCUUGUCUCCAGUCAGUCUGUGUACCAACGCUGAUUCUGGUGACAACUCCCCCGUCAAACGCAUGGAUCUUCAGGUAUUCAGUCCAGAAUCCGUUGCCGAAUCCAUUUCUGUUGAUUUGCCUGGAGAGUCAAAUGUUUGAAUCUUCGUCACUUCUGGAAACACACCACCACCCUCAUCAAUCAUCUUCUUGAUAUCCUUGACUCACUGUGAAUCACAGUUCUCACUGCUGCCAUAACAUUCGGGUGUUCAAGAUGAGACUUUUAUUAUUGAGAUUCAGGUGCUGCAGCAGUUCAAGGUCAGAAAUAAGCGCAGAUAAAUAAAGAAAAAUAAAAGAUAACUGAUUAGAAGUGUCAUUAAAAAUAAGAAUGAAAAUAGAAACUAUACAAGAGCAAUGUAACUCAA